CAACAUUCUGCACAUUCAAGGUCUUACUUCUAGGAACCAAAGGAGUGGCCUGUGUCAGAACAAAGGAUCUGAAUUCUUUGCAGCUCUGCGGGAGCUAUAUAUAUAUAUUGUUCCACUUUUGUUGUUGCAGUCAGACACAGUAGCUGGAGUCAAGAUGAAGCUUCUCGUGGUGUUUCUGCUGGUGGUGCUGGGCUGCAGCCUGGCUGAAGGGCGAACUAUGACGAAGUGUGACCUGAGGGCUCAGUUGUUAAACGCGAUGAACAAACUGCCAAAUGAUGAGAUACCAAUUGAAAAUGAGUUUUUGGCCAAGGUCGUCUGCCACGCCGAGCUGUCCUCAGGUUUUACCACCAGUGCAGUGAAUCAUCUGAAGCCUGGCACAGAAGACAACCACUUCAUGGAGCGUCAGGACAUUUUGAACAGUGGAAAUCUACAGUCUGUUCAGAACCCUGAGUGGCACCCAGACCCUGCGGCUCAGGAAGGGGAGGUCUUGGUGCUCUCUGGCAUUUUCCAGCUCAGCAACAACCUUGUCUGCAACAAUGGCAGUAAUACUUCCCCCAACAUCUGUGAGACAGAGUGCACCAAGCUGCAGGACGACGACAUCACUGAUGACAUCAGCUGCCUGUUUGAGGUCUACAGCAAUCCUGACGAGGGCCUUGCAGCAGACGUGCUCAGGAGGAAGAUCAGACAGAUCCGGCUCAUCUUCCAGGAAGAGUGCAAAAGCAAGACAGCCUCGGAGUACUUCUCUGACUGUGCAUAACCUGCACCCAUGUAACUCCUGGAAUCACUGGGAUUAUUAAUCUUCUCCUAAAUGCAGAACCAGUGACUAUGAUGAAAUGAAGUGAAGGGUUUUUGUGUUUUUAUGUCUGUUAUUCAAAAUCAACAUCUGUCCUUUGACGCUUUGGUAAAAGAUUCAUAACGUGGCUUGAUGAAGCAGUUUCCUCUGAAAUACACAGAUCAAUAAACCUGUAAAAUAUUUAAAAAUGUGUUAUGUUUGAUUAUUACUUCAGCAGCACAUAUUGUUUAGCUGAUUAACCAUCACUUCACUACACAAAGAGUCCAAGACAAAUCAUUGGUGCAAGUUCUCCAGUGGUGUUUUUUGUUUUGAAUCUCACUUCUGAUUUUAAAAAAAUCUCUGUAAAAUGAUCUUGUACACAGAUAAAACAAUAAAAGAUCAUAAACAAAACUGUGAAAU
rnacentral:lncRNA from 1 species